GUGUCAGCCGCCGCGGUAAUACGUAGGGGGCGAGCGUUGUCCGGAAUGACUGGGCGUAAAGGGCGCGUAGGUGGCCUUAUAAGUUUGGAGUGAAAGUCCCGCUUUCAAGGUGGGAAUUGCUUUGAAGACUGUAGGGCUUGAGUGUGGGAGAGGAUAGCGGAAUUCCCGGUGUAGCGGUGAAAUGCGUAGAGAUCGGGAGGAACACCAGUGGCGAAGGCGGCUAUCUGGACCAAGA
rnacentral:rRNA from 1 species